UACGUAGGGUGCAAGCGUUAAUCGGAAUUACUGGGCGUAAAGCGUGCGCAGGCGGUUCGCUAAGACCGAUGUGAAAUCCCCGGGCUUAACCUGGGAACUGCAUUGGUGACUGGCGGGCUAGAGUAUGGCAGAGGGGGGUAGAAUUCCACGUGUAGCAGUGAAAUGCGUAGAGAUGUGGAGGAGUACCGAUGGCGAAGGCAGCCCCCUGGGCCAAUACUGACGCUCAUGCACGAAAGCGUGGGGAGCAAACAGG
rnacentral:rRNA from 1 species